CUAGAUGAGGUCAGUUGGUGCGAGUAUAGGAAUUUUGUUGUUGUUACCCUUGCCGGAGUGAAGAGAGCUGUAAGAAAAAAGGCCACAAGUAAAAGGAGAAGCUGUUUCGUGAACCCGACUUGGUGUCCGUGUUGUUCCUGUCUCCGUUGGAGUGGAGAUGACCUGCGACAAGUGGUGGCCCGUACGGGGAACUCAUCAUGUCGGUCGGCAACGAGUGAAGAGAGCUGUAAGGAAAAAGGCCACAAGUAAAAGGAGAAGCUGUUUCGUGAACCUGACUUGGUGUCCGUGUUGUUCCUGUCUCCGCCAGAGCGGAGAUGGCCUGCGACAAGAAAGCAUCAAAUUCUUACUGACCUUCGUUGCAGUGCAGAAGUAGAAGAUGAGGUGGAACAUGAGAUGGCUUUCUGAGGACACCUUUUCUUAGGUUAAAAGCAAGCCAGGACAUUUAAAAUUAAGGCUUUGAAUACUACAUUGGUGAGAAGAGAAGAGAAGAGAAGAGAAGAGAAGAGAAGAGAAGAGAAGAGAAGAGAAGAGAAGAGAAGAGACACUGCGCACAUUGUCUUAUUCCAGAGUGUGGAGGAGUGCUUUGUUUUCCCAUAGUCAGUAUCUUGUUGGCUGUAGGUUUCUCAUAGCUAGCCUUCACAACAUUGAUACAUGCCCCUUCUUUUCCUAUGGAUUGUGUCUUGAAAGAAUGUUGAGCUUUGUCAAUGACCUUUUCUUCAACCAUUGAGAUGAGCAUAUGAUUUCUGUCUUUAAGUUUAUGUAUGUGCAGUAUUACAUUCAUUGACUUGUGGAGCUGAACCACUUAUACUGCUAUAAUGAAACCAAUAUGGUUAUGGUUAUGAUCUUAUAAAUGCUCUUGAAUUUGGUUUGCAAGCAUUUUAUUGACAGGUUUUGUAUUCAUCUUCAUCUGGUAUAUUAGUCUAUACUUUUAUUUUAUAUCCUUACCCAGUCUUGGUUAAAAAAACAAAACAAAACAAAACAAAACAAAACAAAACAACACAAAGAAGAAAAAGAACCAAAAAGUUUUCCUGGCAGAAAGAAAAUUUAUAACAAAAAUAACACAAAUGUAAGAAAGUGGCUGAAAAACAUGAAAAUUAUUUAAAAAAAACAGUAAAACUAAAAUAUAUUAAAGUUUAAUAGAAAGACAAAGAAAAACACCCACCAAAGAAAAAACACAAAAAGAAAAUUAAAAAGAUUGCCCAUUAAUGAAA
rnacentral:lncRNA from 1 species